CACGUAGGGCGCGAGCGUUGUCCGGAAUUAUUGGGCGUAAAGAGCUCGUAGGCGGCCUGUUGCGUCCGCUGUGAAAGCCCGGGGCUUAACCCCGGGUCGGCAGUGGAUACGGGCAGGCUAGAGGUAGGUAGGGGAGAAUGGAAUUCCCGGUGUAGCGGUGAAAUGCGCAGAUAUCGGGAGGAACACCAGUGGCGAAGGCGGAGACCUGGGCCGAUACUGACGCUGAGGUGCGAAAGCGUGGGGAGCAAACAGG
rnacentral:rRNA from 1 species